GACGAACGCUGGCGGCGUGCUUAACACAUGCAAGUCGAACGGUAAGGCCCUUCGGGUACGACGAGUGGCGAACGGGUGGAGUAACACGUGGGUGAUCUGCCUGCACUUCGGGAUAAGCCUGGGAAACUGGGUCUAAUACCGGAUAGGACCAUGGACUUCACGGUUUGUGGUGGAAAGCUUUUGCGGUGUGGGAUGGGCCCGCGGCCUAUCAGCUUGUUGGUGGGGUAAUGGCCUACCAAGGCGACGACGGGUAGCCGGCCUGAGAGGGUGUCCGGCCACACUGGGACUGAGAUACGGCCCAGACUCCUACGGGAGGCAGCAGUGGGGAAUAUUGCACAAUGGGCGCAAGCCUGAUGCAGCGACGCCGCGUGA
rnacentral:rRNA from 1 species